GGAAGUAUCCUCUCUGAAGGAUAUGAGGAUGUGGAUGAGGAGCUUCUCUCAGGAAGUAUCCUCUCUGAAGAACAGCAUUCAGGAUAUGAGGAUGUGGAUGAGGAGCUUCUCUCAGCAAAGUCUCUGACUGGAGUAAAGGCAGAAUAUUAUGAUGAUGUCACCACCAGUGGUCUGAUAA